AGUGAACGCUGGCGGUAGGCCUAACACAUGCAAGUCGAACGGCAGCACAGUAAGAGCUUGCUCUUACGGGUGGCGAGUGGCGGACGGGUGAGGAAUACAUCGGAAUCUACUUUUUCGUGGGGGAUAACGUAGGGAAACUUACGCUAAUACCGCAUACGACCUACGGGUGAAAGCAGGGGAUCUUCGGACCUUGCGCGAUUGAAUGAGCCGAUGUCGGAUUAGCUAGUUGGCGGGGUAAAGGCCCACCAAGGCGACGAUCCGUAGCUGGUCUGAGAGGAUGAUCAGCCACACUGGAACUGAGACACGGUCCAGACUCCUACGGGAGGCAGCAGUGGGGAAUAUUGGACAAUGGGCGCAAGCCUGAUCCAGCCAUACCGCGUGGGUGAAGAAGGCCUUCGGGUUGUAAAGCCCUUUUGUUAGGAAAGAAAAGCAGCAGGUUAAUACCCCGCUGUUCUGACGGUACCCAAAGAAUAGGCACCGGCUAACUUCGUG
rnacentral:rRNA from 1 species